GGGCAUGUAGCGCAGUUGGUAGCGCGCUCGCUUAGCAAAUUGAUUACGUAAUAAUUACGUAAGCACAUGCGAGAGGUCUUGGGUUCAAAUCCCAACUUGUCCA
rnacentral:tRNA from 1 species